GGGGAAUUUUGGACAAUGGGCGAAAGCCUGAUCCAGCCAUUCCGCGUGAGUGAAGAAGGCCUUCGGGUUGUAAAGCUCUUUCAGCAGGAACGAAACGGUCUUUUCUAAUAAAGAAGGCUAAUGACGGUACCUGAAGAAGAAGCACCGGCUAACUACGUGCCAGCAGCCGCGGUAAUACGUAGGGUGCGAGCGUUAAUCGGAAUUACUGGGCGUAAAGCGUGCGCAGGCGGUUCUAUAAGACAGAUGUGAAAUCCCCGGGCUUAACCUGGGAACUGCGUUUGUGACUGUAGGACUGGAGUGUAGCAGAGGGGGGUGGAAUUCCACGUGUAGCAGUGAAAUGCGUAGAUAUGUGGAGGAACACCGAUGGCGAAGGCAGCCCCCUGGGUUAACACUGACGCUCAUGCACGAAAGCGUGGGGAGCAAAC
rnacentral:rRNA from 1 species